rnacentral:rRNA from 1 species
AUUGAACGCUGGCGGCAUGCCUUACACAUGCAAGUCGAACGGUAACGCGGGGCAACCUGGCGACGAGUGGCGAACGGGUGAGUAACGCAUCGGAACGUGCCCAGUAGUGGGGGAUAGCCCGGCGAAAGCCGGAUUAAUACCGCAUACGACCUACGGGUGAAAGCGGGGGAUCGCAAGACCUCGCGCUAUUGGAGCGGCCGAUGUCAGAUUAGGUAGUUGGUGAGGUAAAGGCUCACCAAGCCUUCGAUCUGUAGCUGGUCUGAGAGGACGACCAGCCACACUGGGACUGAGACACGGCCCAGACUCCUACGGGAGGCAG